GAUGAACGCUGGCGGCGUGCCUAAUACAUGCAAGUCGAGCGAACAGAUAAGGAGCUUGCUCCUUUGACGUUAGCGGCGGACGGGUGAGUAACACGUGGGUAACCUACCUAUAAGACUGGGAUAACUUCGGGAAACCGGAGCUAAUACCGGAUAAUAUUUCGAACCGCAUGGUUCGAUAGUGAAAGAUGGUUUUGCUAUCACUUAUAGAUGGACCCGCGCCGUAUUAGCUAGUUGGUAAGGUAACGGCUUACCAAGGCGACGAUACGUAGCCGACCUGAGAGGGUGAUCGGCCACACUGGAACUGAGACACGGUCCAG
rnacentral:rRNA from 1 species